UAACCGUGGAAGAAUCUGGUGUGUCCUGUGUUUAUUUCCUGCGGGACGGGGAUAAGCUCGGGAUACUUGGUGCUAGAAACCCGGGAAAAAAUGCCUUAACAACGCCGGCACCAGAGGAGACCCUUCUAAUCGAAGCAGAUUCAGAACCACGGUGGAUUUUGGAAUUCUGAGAGCAUGCUGAAUCCUUGUAAAAGACAACCCAUUCUGGCUGCCGGAACGACUGACACGGAGAAUUCCG
rnacentral:lncRNA from 1 species